rnacentral:lncRNA from 1 species
CUGCCAGCAGGCUGCCUUUGGACUCCAACUGCAACUCUUCCCUGGGUUUCCAGCCUGCCAGCCUACCCUGCAGACUUUGGACUUGCACCUCCACAACCAUACCAGAACCCACCGGAAGCCUCCAGGUGCUGCAGUGAGGAGGAGCUGGAACCCUUCUCCUCCAGGUGCCAGCUCGCGCUGCUGUGGUUCUCAUCUGUAGAGGACGUGGACCAUCCAGGGAAUCACCUGCAGCUGACAGAGGAAACUCUGAAGCCCACCAGGCCUGUACAGACUGGGGAAACACCAGUGCCUGAGGAUAGUGGCUAAACUGCCAGAGAACAUGGGGCUGAGGUGGAGCCUGGAUGACUCUUCUGCCUCUGAGCAAAGCUGCUUGCCCUACACACAACAGUAUUGUCUUAACAUCUGCUGAGUUCCCAGGUCCUCUUAGCAGCAGGCAGAGGCAUUCAGAGCCCAGACCCCAAAGACAUGCUGAUCUGGUUUAAACCUGACUGUGCUACUCAUCAACUGGGGGACCUAGGCAGGUUACAUUGUCUUUUUGUGCCUCAGUUUCCUCAUCUAUAGAAUAGAGGUAUUCUAGUUUCCUGUGAUUUCU